rnacentral:rRNA from 1 species
ACGGGAGGCAGCAGUGGGGGAUAUUGCACAAUGGGGGAAACCCUGAUGCAGCAACGCCGCGUGAGGGAAGACGGUUUUCGGAUUGUAAACCUCUGUCCUUGGUGACGAUAAUGACGGUAGCCAAGAAGGAAGCCACGGCUAACUACGUGCCAGCAGCCGCGGUAAUACGUAGGUGGCAAGCGUUGUCCGGAAUUACUGGGUGUAAAGGGAGCGUAGGCGGGAGAGCAAGUCAGAUGUGAAAUCCACAGGCUUAACCUGUGGCGUGCAUUUGAAACUGUUUUUCUUGAGUGAAGUAGAGGCAGGCGGAAUUCCGAGUGUAGCGGUGAAAUGCGUAGAUAUUCGGAGGAACACCAGUGGCGAAGGCGGCCUGCUGGGCUUUUACUGACGCUGAGGCUCGAAAGCAUGGGUAGCAAACAGGAUUAGAUACCCUGGUA